rnacentral:rRNA from 1 species
UACGUAGGGUGCGAGCGUUAAUCGGAAUUACUGGGCGUAAAGCGUGCGCAGGCGGUUCGUUGUGUCGGCGGUGAAAGCCCCGGGCUCAACCUGGGAAUGGCCGUUGAAACUGGCGAACUGGAGUGUGGCAGAGGGGGGUGGAAUUCCGCGUGUAGCAGUGAAAUGCGUAGAGAUGCGGAGGAACACCGAUGGCGAAGGCAGCCCCCUGGGCUGACACUGACGCUGAGGUGCGAAAGCGUGGGGAGCAAACAGG